rnacentral:tRNA from 5 species
CGGAUUAGAGCCAGGCGGUUAGGCGUCUCAUUUGGGUUGGGAAAUAGUUAUGUUCGAUUCAUAAUAAUCCGA